rnacentral:rRNA from 1 species
AGGUAACCUGUCGACUGCACUUGGUGAUGCGCGACUUUUAUCACUUCGAGGUAAAUAGAAUUGCCGUCGUAGGCGAGAGCUGUAGAUAUCUUGAGAAUACCCGGGGGCGACAGGCGGGUUCUCAUCCAUUAUUACGAUCAAGGUUGCAAAGUGCCGGGGCGCAAACAAGAAGUAGCAACCUGGUAGUCCGCAACCGCAACCGAUGUACACUAGUGGUAGGGGCAUGAGUCUCUGUGCCAAAGCUAACGUGAUAAGUGUACCGCCUGGGGAAGUAUGCUCGCAAGGGUGAAUAUCACAAGGAACUGACGGGGGGCCGCACAAGCGGUCGAGCAUGUCGUUUCAAUCGAUGGUACGCGAGGGACAUUUCCCUGGUUUUCCCUCCAAGUGGAAUGGGAUACAGAUACAUCUCCGUACCAAUCCGUGGCUUGAAAGUGCUGCACCGCCGGUGUUAGCGCCCCCCCUGAAGUUCUUGGGUAAUUCCCCCAACGAGCGCAACCCCCAGGGCCGCCAAUUAACACGUUAAGAUGAGGAGUCUGGCGGAACUCCCGGUGACAAACAGGAGGAAGGUGGGGAUGACGUCAAGUCAUCAUGGCCCCUAUGUCCAGGGCUACACACGUGCUACAAUGGUUGCUACAAAGUGAUGCGAAACCGCGAGGUCAAGCGAAGCGCAAAAAAGCAACCGUAGUUCGGAUUGGAGUCUGAAACCCGA